rnacentral:rRNA from 1 species
CAUGCAGUCGAGCGGUAGAGAGAAGCUUGCUUCUCUUGAGAGCGGCGGACGGGUGAGUAAUGCCUAGGAAUCUGCCUGGUAGUGGGGGAUAACGUUCGGAAACGGACGCUAAUACCGCAUACGUCCUACGGGAGAAAGCAGGGGACCUUCGGGCCUUGCGCUAUCAGAUGAGCCUAGGUCGGAUUAGCUAGUUGGUGGGGUAAUGGCUCACCAAGGCGACGAUCCGUAACUGGUCUGAGAGGAUGAUCAGUCACACUGGAACUGAGACACGGUCCAGACUCCUACGGGAGGCAGCAGUGGGGAAUAUUGGACAAUGGGCGAAAGCCUGAUCCAGCCAUGCCGCGUGUGUGAAGAAGGUCUUCGGAUUGUAAAGCACUUUAAGUUGGGAGGAAGGGUUGUAGAUUAAUACUCUGCAAUUUUGACGUUACCGACAGAAUAAGCACCGGCUAACUCUGUGCCAGCAGCCGCGGUAAUACAGAGGGUGCAAGCGUUAAUCGGAAUUACUGGGCGUAAAGCGCGCGUAGGUGGUUUGUUAAGUUGGAUGUGAAAUCCCCGGGCUCAACCUGGGAACUGCAUUCAAAACUGACUGACUAGAGUAUGGUAGAGGGUGGUGGAAUUUCCUGUGUAGCGGUGAAAUGCGUAGAUAUAGGAAGGAACACCAGUGGCGAAGGCGACCACCUGGACUAAUACU